AUUGAACGCUGGCGGCAUGCUUUACACAUGCAAGUCGAACGGUAACAGGGAGCUUGCUCCGCUGACGAGUGGCGAACGGGUGAGUAAUAUAUCGGAACGUACCCAAGCGUGGGGGAUAACGUAGCGAAAGUUACGCUAAUACCGCAUACGAUCUAUGGAUGAAAGCAGGGGACCUUCGGGCCUUGUGCUCCUGGAGCGGCCGAUAUCUGAUUAGCUAGUUGGUGAGGUAAAGGCUCACCAAGGCGACGAUCAGUAGCUGGUCUGAGAGGACGACCAGCCACACUGGAACUGAGACACGGUCCAGACUCCUACGGGAGGCAGCAGUGGGGAAUUUUGGACAAUGGGCGCAAGCCUGAUCCAGCAAUGCCGCGUGAGUGAAGAAGGCCUUCGGGUUGUAAAGCUCUUUUGUCAGGGAAGAAACGGCUGUGGCUAAUAUCCACGGCUAAUGACGGUACCUGAAGAAUAAGCACCGGCUAACUACGUG
rnacentral:rRNA from 1 species